AAAAGACAUCACUAUCUUAAACCCCUCACAAUUCUCUCACCAUAUACACACACACGCUAAUAGAGAGCACAAACUCACCUCACACCUCGACCUCACUAGAACAACUCUUGCGCACACACAGCCAUACACCCGAUCAAAAAAGGAAGAGAGAGGCGCGAGAGAGAUAGACGAGGGGAGUAAGAAUAGUGAGUUGGAGAGGAAGGUAAAUAGUGAAAGAUUGAGAGCAAGAACAAAGGGGAUUGAGAAAAAAUAGGAGAAAGGGGUGACGGGGAG
rnacentral:lncRNA from 1 species